CUGAGUGGCAACGGGUGAUAAUAUGUGGGAAUCUGCCUUUUGGUUUGGAAUAACACGGGGAAACUUGUGCUAAUACCGAAUAAGCCCUUACGGGGAAAGUUUUAAUGCCGAAAGAUGAGCCCGCACUUGAUUAGCUAGUUGGUAAGGUAAAAGCUUACCAAGGCAACGAUCAAUAGCUGUUCU
rnacentral:rRNA from 1 species